rfam:Ornithorhynchus anatinus chromosome 4, whole genome shotgun sequence.
CUCCUCUUAGGAUUGCACCUCGAGAGUUUCCAGUACUCUACCAGUAUCAGCUAUGGGAGGGAGAAUCAAGCAGAGGCAUAACCAUUCCAUUCCUAGCUUGGGCAGUGGCUAAAGAGCGGAAGGCAAUCUGCUACAAAU